rnacentral:rRNA from 1 species
AGCGAACGCUGGCGGCAGGCUUAACACAUGCAAGUCGAGCGGGCGUAGCAAUACGUCAGCGGCAGACGGGUGAGUAACGCGUGGGAACAUACCUUUUGGUUCGGAACAACUGAGGGAAACUUCAGCUAAUACCGGAUAAGCCCUUACGGGGAAAGGAUUUAUCGCCGAAAGAUUGGCCCGCGUCUGAUUAGCUUGUUGGUGAGGUAACGGCUCACCAAGGCGACGAUCAGUAGCNGGUCUGAGAGGAUGAUCAGCCA